GAUGAACGCUGGCGGCGUGCUUAACACAUGCAAGUCGAACGAAGAUGCCGGAGUGCUUGCACUUUGGCAGACUGAGUGGCGGACGGGUGAGUAACGCGUGGGUAACCUGCCUUAUACAGGGGGAUAACAGUUGGAAACGACUGCUAAUACCGCAUAAGCGCACGGUAUCGCAUGAUACAGUGUGAAAAACUCCGGUGGUAUAAGAUGGACCCGCGUCUGAUUAGCUAGUUGGUGAGGUAACGGCCCACCAAGGCGACGAUCAGUAGCCGGCCUGAGAGGGUGAACGGCCACAUUGGGACUGAGACACGGCCCAAACUCCUACGGGAGGCAGCAGUGGGGAAUAUUGCACAAUGGGGGAAACCCUGAUGCAGCGACGCCGCGUGAGUGAUGAAGUAUUUCGGUAUGUAAAACUCUAUCAGCAGGGAAGAUAAUGACGGUACCUGACUAAGAAGCACCGGCUAAAAUACGUG
rnacentral:rRNA from 1 species